CCUACGGGUGGCAGCAGUGAGGAAUAUUGGUCAAUGGGCGAGAGCCUGAACCAGCCAAGUCGCGUGAGGGAGUACUGCCCUAUGGGUUGUAAACCUCUUUUGUCGGGGAGCAAAAGCCGGACGUGUCCGGCUGUGAGAGUACCCGAAGAAAAAGCAUCGACUAACUCCGUGCCAGCAGCCGCGGUAAUACGGAGGAUGCGAGCGUUAUCCGGAUUUAUUGGGUUUAAAGGGUGCGCAGGCGGAUUUUUAAGUCAGCGGUAAAAUCGUGGGGCUCAACCCCAUCCAGCCGUUGAAACUGGGGAUCUAGAGUGUGCGAGAGGUAUGCGGAAUGCGUGGUGUAGCGGUGAAAUGCAUAGAUAUCACGCAGAACCCCGAUUGCGAAGGCAGCAUACCGGUGCACAACUGACGCUCAGGCACGAAAGCGUGGGUAUCGAACAGGAUUAGAUACCCCAGUAGUC
rnacentral:rRNA from 1 species